CCAGAUACUAAAAUCACUGUAAAUGUACCCGAUCUUGCCAGAUCUCCGAAGCUAAGCACAGUUAAACCUGGUUGGUACAUGGACGGGUGACCACCAGGACUUGCCAGGUGUUGUAGGGU
rnacentral:rRNA from 1 species